UACGAAGGGUGCAAGCGUUACUCGGAAUUACUGGGCGUAAAGGGCGUGCAGGCGGUUUGUCUAGUCUAGGGUGAAAGCUCCCGGCUUAACUGGGAGAGGUCCUUGGAUACUGGCAAACUUGAGGGAGGCAGAGGAAAGUGGAAUUCCCGGUGUAGUGGUGAUAUGCGUAGAUAUCGGGAGGAACACCAGUGGCGAAGGCGGCUUUCUGGGCCAGUUCUGACGCUGAGGAGCGAAAGCGUGGGGAGCGAACAGG
rnacentral:rRNA from 1 species